GCUUAACCUCCGGGAGGGCGCUUACCACUUUGUGAUUCAUGACUGGGGUGAAGUCGUAACAAGGUAACCGUAGGGGAACCUGCGGUUGGAUCACCUCCUUA
rnacentral:rRNA from 1 species